rnacentral:rRNA from 1 species
CACGUAGGGCGCAAGCGUUGUCCGGAAUUAUUGGGCGUAAAGAGCUCGUAGGCGGUCUGUUGCGUCUGCUGUGAAAACCCGGGGCUUAACCCCUGGCUUGCAGUGGAUACGGACAGACUAGAGGUAUGCAGGGGAGAACGGAAUUCCUGGUGUAGCGGUGGAAUGCGCAGAUAUCAGGAGGAACACCGGUGGCGAAGGCGGUUCUCUGGGCAUUACCUGACGCUGAGGAGCGAUAGCGUGGGGAGCGAACAGG